UACGUAGGGUGCGAGCGUUAAUCGGAAUUACUGGGCGUAAAGCGUGCGCAGGCGGUUUGCUAAGACAGGUGUGAAAUCCCCGGGCUUAACCUGGGAACUGCGCUUGUGACUGGCAGACUUGAGUGCGGAAGAGGGGGGUGGAAUUCCACGUGUAGCAGUGAAAUGCGUAGAGAUGUGGAGGAACACCGAUGGCGAAGGCAGCCCCCUGGGCCGACACUGACGCUCAUGCACGAAAGCGUGGGGAGCAAACAGG
rnacentral:rRNA from 1 species